ensembl:lincRNA A830019L24Rik RIKEN cDNA A830019L24 gene
GAGCAGACGCUGAGCCUCUUUCUGUAUCUCUGAGUUCUUUCAGGGCUUGUCAGCACUGACCCUGAUCCCCACUUUUCUCUGACACCCUCCUCUGCCUCUUCCUCUUCCUUGUCUGGUUCUUCCUCUUCUCCUCUGCCUCAUCACCCUCCUCUCUGUCCUUCCCUACUUCUCUUUCUCAUCUUCCUCCUCUUCCUUAUCUUCUUCUUCCUCUCCUGUCCACAUCCUUCCUUAUCCUUACUCUUUCUUUUUUUUUUCCUUACUCUUUCUCUAGUACCUUUUGAGUUUGCCAAAGUUAUUUUUUACAUAAUAUGAUGUGUUUUAGUAACUUUAUUAAAAAAAAAAAAAAAAACAAACAACAAUCUUGGUAACCUUCAGAAUUCCUCUAAGCUUGUUCACAUUCUCGCAAAUCAGAAGAGAUUUUCUUUAGGAUUUCGGAGUGCUGGCAAAACAAAAGAAAGAAAGAAAAAGAAGAGCUCAACGUGGAGUCGAGAGGGAAAUGGGGAGAGCAAAAGAAUUGGAUGAAAUCACAGUUGUAAUGAGGUAUAUCUGCAAUAUGCCCACGUCAAGUUUAACUCUUGAAAGAAAACAGAAGUGAAAGGAAAGGCAGGUGGAGUCAUGUCUGACAAAGAGACAAGUGUCCUGUGCUCUAGAUUUGAAACUCAUCCUGAGUAGUCCCAUAACCAACUCGGGAUGUCACUGUUAUAGAAAAGGAAGAGCAAAUGAAGCAACAUCCCUGCCUGGACUCCACCUCAUGAUCCACUACUCUGACAAGGACCGUUGGACCAAAUCAACUUGCUAUUCUGAUGACAAUUGAUCCUCAGUGGAAUAUCUGCAGGAAGCAUUCUACCACAACAAACUUCUUAGCAACUCCCUGCUUUCAUCUUCAGGCUAUCUAACCCUGGUGGAUCUUAAUCUACCUUCUGUUUAAUUGGUUAUACAGACAUUCCGAACUAUGAGACAUUCCUAACUAUGUUGCAUUAUACAUGUUUAUCUAAAUCAGUGUGUUUGUCUAGUAGCCCACUUAUCUACAGGAAACACUACAAGACCUUAAGUAGGUAUCACUUCUAUCAUGCUUCUUUCUGCACAUACUCUCUCAACUGAGUCCUAACCAUAUUCUGACAGUAACUUUCACUAUCUGAGGUACAGUAACAAAACUAUUAUGGAUUUUGUUUCUUGUCUUCAUUAUUUCACAGCCAGAACAUUUCUUAAUGUAGAUGCUAGCACCCUUGGGAAGGGAGUUGUUCUCUUUUCUAAGUUGAGAGCUCUGACCUUCUCACUUAAAUGUGUGCUUUCGGGUUUCUUGUCGACACAGAUGAAUUGCCAGCACUGUUACUUUUGUACUUCGGGGCCAAUAUUAAAUAAGGGCUGCCUGGACACUAGCACUGUAAUGGUAUGACAGUUAAUCUGAUUGCCAGCCACCACAUGAGUAAUGGACAGGUAGAGUCUUCUGUGAGAAUUACACAGACAAAGGGAUGGCUCAUUUCAGAUGGAGUGAGGAAGGAUGGUAAAAGGUUCCAUCAUGUGGUCAAGAAUAACUGACAAUUGAAAGCUUGUAGGGGGCUUAAUUUGGGAAAUUCCCAUUUAAUACUUUUGGACAAAAGGUGAUCUGAGUAACAAGCCACAGAAAGAGAAAAUUGCAACAAACAAGGCACUACUGUACUUAAAUAAAAUUUUCUAUGGG